ensembl:lncRNA
GGGAGCCUCACUGAGGAGAGGACGCUUUGCCACAGACCCAGACAAUCGGCACUCUAGCCCGCCGUACAAACUAUUGAGACUUCCCCGGAUGGUUGUGGUAUGGAUGUUCCUUCCCAAACUGGGGAAACGAGACAGAACUGGGAUGGAGUUUCCCCUGCUUCUCCGGGGCCCCGGCACCAGCAUCGCUCCAAGGAAAACAAAGAUGACCCUUAAGUCUUCACCAGUCCCACGUCUUGCAGUUGAUAAAUGCUUCCAUGUAUGAUAUCUCAUUUAAUCAUUUGAAUCAUUCUGCGCAGUAGUCAUGGAAGUAUUAUUAUCCUCAUUUUACAAAUGAAUGAACUGAGACUCAAGAGGACUAUAUGACUUGCCCAAAGUAGCAAGGCAUAAAGUUAGUAUCCAAGUGUUUUGAAACUUAACCUACUAUGUGGCCCACUAAACCAGAGCCGCGUGGUGAAAAGAAGUGAAGAAAAUAUUUACAGAAAUAUGGAUUUUUUUUCUUUUUUGGCAACACCCCAAGUCUUCCUCCAACAACAGCAACAACAAAAUUGGAGAUUGCUUUACAAAAGUGAUAUAUGUGACCACUUGGCCAACUGAGUUUUUAACUGGGUUUUGUAUUUUUUUAAUCGGAUAUUGUCUAGUUUAGCAAUUGAGAACAUCUCACAUUAGGAACAAGUUAAUACAUUACCAAAGCAAAGUUUUUUCCUUGGCCCUGAAAUGUGCUGCAAUCAUUUUUUUCUGGGAAAACAAACAAAAGUGGAUCAGCAGCGUGCUUGUUAUAUGAGAUGCUGGCUAAGUGCCACCCCCGAGGCCGUUGGCUUGCCUACCGACAAUACCUCGCUUUCAGGCCACGCCAGCUGUUUUAUAAGAAGAUGGCAGUUCUCUGGAAGUGAAUUGCUCUGGUCAGCAAGAUCUGACUUUACUACUGCCAUGUAGGGAGUCACAGACACCAUCAGCUUUGGAUGCAUCCUUCUGACACUGUGUGAAAAAGACUGGGACAAACUCUAAAGACAGUUUGCUCACUCCAUGAGCUUCUGAAUUCUGUCUCUUGAAAGAAGGGCCCUAGAAUAAAGGACAUUCAAUAUGUUUAUCACUCUCAAUUUUAGAAGCAUAAUGGCCUCGAGAGCCAUAUUCGCAUUGAUCUGUUUUAGCUGCUCAUGUGUUCUCUGCUCCACGCAGCUAUGUUCCUAUUUUUAUCCUCUUCAUUCCACUCUAGAGCCAUGUUGCUUCCUGGUUAGGCCACUAAUUGCAUUCAUUCAAAAUAUAUGAUUUGUUUCUUCUCUUUCAUUUUAUACCUAUUUUCUUUGUUCUUGACUAUUCCUUCUCUCAGUUAACCUUUGAUAAAUCAUAAGGAAAUAAGUUUCGCUAGUUGUAGAGAGCAAGAGUCAUUACGGAAACUGGGAUGGUCUGAGAGCGUCUUAAAAAAGUCAUUUGAAUAGCCCUCAGAGGGUGGACAAAAUCAGAAAUUCCAGCUGAGAGUCAGCGCGUCCAGCUCGUCUCCUUCACAGUAAAUCUUCCGGAGUUUUCUUUCAGCUGCCACAGUGAUGCCAAUAAUGGUGACUCAUGGACUGAAGUGCUGAGUACUGAACUCCUCGCCCCACUUAUAUGGCACAUAGAACGAUUUCCUCAGCAUAGGCAACGCUGGAAACACGAGAGGAAGACACUGUGGCCCACUAACCCACUCCCAUUGUCUGCUUUAUCACUCAGUUCUGUCCCUUCCUUCCUCCAUAGGAAAUGGGAAGUACACAGUGAAAAGCAAUAUAAAACUCACAGAAAAAUAUUAAAAUAUCCAGACACUUUUGCAGUAACCAGCAUUUUUCUUAGUGGAGGUAAAAGGCCUAAAUAAAGGAAUUUAUCAUCCUCCAUUCCUGCCUUCCCCAUAACUCCCUCUCCUGAAAUCCUACUCUGAACCUAAUAACCACUCGAUAUGUCAAAUUACUUGAUCUGCUGGGCUGACUCAAGUAGUUUAUUAACUAUCUUUCUGUCGACUUUUUUGGUUUUGGUGAAGAAGAUUGGCCCUGAGCUAACAUCCAUUGUCAAUCUCCCUCUUUUUGCUUGAGGAAGAAUGUCCCUGAGCUAACAUCUGUGCCAGUCCUCUUCUAUUUUAUAUGUGGGAUGCCGCCACAGCACAGCAGGUCCGUGCCCAGGAUCCGAACCUGUGAACCCCGGGCCACAGAAGUAGAGUGAGCAAACUUAACCACUACGCCUCUAGGCCAGCCCCUAGACUUUUUUUUUAAGUAAAUUUUUAGCCUAAUAAUUUACUAGCAAAUCAGGAAAGUAGGUGAGGUUUAUUAGCAGUUUUGGGUUAAUGUUACUAAAAACAGUCUGAUUCAAAGGAACACAUAUUGGAGCAAAUACACCUUUGUUCCAUCAUCAUCUGCACAAGUUUCACACAUGAGAGAACAGACAGUUAUGACGGGUUACAUUCUUUAUAGUAUAAAUUCUACCGUACACUAAAAGUAGCUCAAAGGCCCAGAUGCUGCUAAGAUAGCUCACUGGUAAGAUUCUGUCCUCCUUUCUGUAUCCUACACUUAAGAUUUGAGUGAUUUUUCUUCCUAAGCUAGCCCAUAACUUCUUUGCUGGUUAAAAGAUAUAACAGGGGCUGGCCCCAUGGCCGAGUGGUGAAGUUCACACAGUCCACUUGAGCGGCCCAGGGUUUCACUGGUUUGGAUCCCAGGUGCGGACAUGGCACCACUCAUCAGACCAUGUUGAGGCGGCAUCCAACAUAGCACGGCCAGAGGCACUUAGAAGCAGAAUAUACGACUAUGGCUUUGGGGAGAAGAAUAAAAAAAAGAAGGAGAAGAUUGGCAACAGUUGUUAGCUCAGGUACCAAUCUUUAAAAAGAAAAAAGAUGUGUUAACAUUUAACACAUCCAAUUACGUGGCUGGAGAACUGGCCUAACUGACCCAAGGGCUCUACCUUCCUCCAUCCCCAUAUGCCCAGCAGCAUUGAUUCUGUCUUUUCAGCAGGCACGUUGAAAGGUAUCUUCCUUGGGUUUAAACACAAGAGAGUCUGCCAACAUUAGUUUGGUUUAUGAAAUGCGUAGAAAAAAGUGACAAGAAAAAUGGUCCGGUUGUCCCUGUGGUCUGGUACUGGCUUCGUUCCGGGUCUUCUGUCUGAAAGUGUAUCCGCACACAUUCCCAGCAGCUCUCACUAGCUCUUCUUUGAUUAUUUUACUAGCUCAUUUCUCGGAAUGUUAAACACACACACACAGAAAUAGAUAGUCCAGUAGAAUCGCCUAGGGUGAUUGUGUUGGAACAGGUGCCAAAAUAGUAACGUUCUUACCUGUAAACACUGCCUGGGCUAGUGAGAAGACACUGACGCACCCUCCUCCCAGCUCUUUCGUGCCGGCACACACAGGGAAAGCUGUAGCUCCCUGAGGGGGAGAGAGAGAAGCUGCUGCUUCACUUUAAAUGAGUAGGGUUUAAAGUUACAAACUACAGUGAAAAUGAACACAAAACAAAUAUUUUUCAGGGAACACUAAAAGACUAAGAGAUCUGAUGGGGACAUAAAUCUUUAUCAUCAUCAUACAAGUUAAUCAUGUUUAUUUCAUAAAAAAAUAGAAAAUCCAGGGAAGCACAGAAAUCAUUAAGAUCCUCCCCAAUUCUACCUCCUAGACAUGUAGACCGUGCAUGUGUGUGUGUUUGCAGACAUAUACAAUAUGGAUUCUGAUACAAGCAAAUCAAGAAAUUUUUCAUAGCCAAAUGAUACUAUAAAUUGUAUUUUAUUGUAUAAAUUGCUUUCGUACCAAACAACAGAUCUGGAAAACCAACCAUGUCAAUAAAUAUCUACCACAUCAUUGUUAACGGGUGUAUAGUAUUCUUUCACAUGGCUGUACCAUAAGUUAUGUAACAAAUUCCCUAUGGUUAAUUGUUUAAAUUCGUUCCAACUUUUAUAAGUAUAAACAAUUCUGCAAUAAACAUCAUUUUACAUACGUUUU